UAUCUUUUUAAAAUUAUUUUAACUUUUUACUUGGAAGGUAAAUGUACUUAUCAUACUCAAAAGAC
rnacentral:tRNA from 1 species